rnacentral:rRNA from 1 species
CCUACGGGUGGCAGCAGUGGGGGAUAUUGCACAAUGGGGGGAACCCUGAUGCAGCGACGCCGCGUGGGUGAAGAAGCGCCUCGGCGCGUAAAGCCCCGUCAGCAGGGAAGAAAAUGACGGUACCUGAAGAAGAAGCCCCGGCUAACUACGGGCCAGCAGCCGCGGGACUACGGAGGGGGCCAGCGUUAUCCGGAUUUACGGGGUGUAAUGGGGGCGCAGGCGGGGAUGCAAGCCAGGAGUGAAAGCCCGGGGCCCAACCCCGGGACUGCUCUUGGAACUGCGUGGCUGGAGUGCAGGAGGGGCAGGCGGAAUUCGUGGUGUAGCGGUGAAAUGCGUAGAUAUCAGGAGGAACACCGAUGGCGAAGGCGGCCUGCUGGACUGCAACUGACGUUGAGGCCCGAAAGCGUGGGGAGCAAACAGGAUUAGAUACCCUAGUAGUC